rnacentral:rRNA from 1 species
UACGAAGGGGGCGAGCGUUGUUCGGAUUUACUGGGCGUAAAGGGCGCGCAGGCGGCUUAUUUUGUCAGGCGUGAAAGCCCCGGGCUUAACCUGGGAACUGCGUUUGAUACGGAUGGGCUAGAGUUCGGGAGAGGAGAGUGGAAUUCUCAGUGUAGAGGUGAAAUUCGUAGAUAUUGGGAAGAACACCGGUGGCGAAGGCGGCUCUCUGGACCGAUACUGACGCUGAGGCGCGAAAGCGUGGGGAGCAAACAGG